rnacentral:lncRNA from 1 species
CACACAGGUAGGGUUAAAUCUAAGAGGGUUGUAUAUUUCCAGGAAUUUAUCCAUCUCCUCUAGGUUUUCUAGUUUAUGCAUGUAAAGGUGUUUAUAGUAGCCUUGAGUGAUCUUUUGUAUUUCUGUGGUAUCGAUUGUAACAUCUCCCAUUUCAUUGCUAAUUGAGCUUGUUAGGAUCUUCUCUCUUCUUUUGUUAUGCCCAACAGCUAUCAUGAGAAGAAGAUGGAUGAAGAGAUAUUUCUUCAUAGAGCCAAAUUGGCUGGCAAAGAUUACUUAUAGGCCUCUGUCAACUUCUCCACCAUUAGCUGAGGUUUUUUAUUUAUUCACCAUCUGUUUUUUCACUUAUCAAGAUAGCUUAGCUUCAUUCGCAUGCCAGUCUUAAGAUUCCAAGUUGGAAACCCAACUAUAUCAAUAAUUAUGGUAAUUGUAAAUGGGCCAAAUAUUACAAUUAAAUUGCAGAGAUUGUCAGACUGAAUAAAAAUGUAAGACUUAAUUACAUGUUGCCUGCAAGAGACUUUAAAUAUAAAGAAACAUAAGUUGAAAGUAAAAUGAUGAAAAAAAAAUACCAGGCAAUCAAUAUAAGAAAGUUAAAUUGGCUAUAUUAGUACCAGACAAUGUAGACUUAAAUGCAGGAAUUAUUACAAGAAAUAAAAAGGAGUGUUUAAUGGUUAUAAAAACUUCAAGUUUGUAGGAAGACCAAAUAAUCAUUAGUGAUGUAGGUAGCUAAAUAUAGUGCCUCAAAAUAAAUGAAAGAAACAUGAUAGAAUGAAUAGGAGAAAAAGCCAAAUACAAAAUUAUGGUGAAGAUUUUUAACAUCGUUUCUCAGAAAUUGAUACAACUGCCCCCAAAUCU